rnacentral:rRNA from 1 species
GACGAACGCUGGCGGCGUGCUUAACACAUGCAAGUCGAACGAAGUGGCGAACGGGUGAGUAAUACGUGGGUAACCUGCCCUCCUUUUUGGGAUAAGCCUUGGAAACGGGGUCUAAUACCGCAUAAUGGGUUAUGGGCUCGCGGUCUAUCAGCUUGUUGGUGGGUGGAUGGCCUACCAAGGCGAGGCCGGGUAGCCGGCCUGAGAGGGUGACCGGCCACAUUGCGACUGCGAUACGGCCCAGACUCCUACGGGAGGCAGCAGUGGGGGAUAGUGCACAAUGGGGGAGGGGCAGAUGCAGCGAAGCCGCGUAGGUGAUGAAGGCUUUCGGGUUGUAAACCUCUGUCGAUAUCAAACGGGUAGGUGGAGAAGAAGCGCCGGCUAACUACGUGCCAGCAGCCGCGGUAAUAC